GGCCCAAUGGUCUAGUCGUAUGAUUCGUGCUUCGGGUCACGUGAAGUUCAAUUCGCGAGAAAUUGCAGAUGCACGAGGCCCCGGGUUCAAUUCCCGGUUGGGCCC